CGAAAGCCUGACGGAGCAACGCCGCGUGAGGGAGGAAGGCCUUAGGGUUGUAAACCUCUUUUCUCUGGGAAGAAGAUCUGACGGUACCAGAGGAAUAAGCCUCGGCUAACUCCGUGCCAGCAGCCGCGGUAAGACGGAGGAGGCAAGCGUUAUCCGGAAUGAUUGGGCGUAAAGCGUCCGCAGGUGGCAAUGUAAGUCUGCUGUUAAAGAGUCUAGCUCAACUAGAUAAGAGCAGUGGAAACUACAUAGCUAGAGUACGUUCGGGGCAGAGGGAAUUCCUGGUGUAGCGGUGAAAUGCGUAGAGAUCAGGAAGAACACCGGUGGCGAAGGCGCUCUGCUAGGCCGUAACUGACACUGAGGGACGAAAGCUAGGGGAGCG
rnacentral:rRNA from 1 species